CAUUGGUGCUGCACCAGAUGACGACGGCGCACGGGUGAGUAACGCGUAUGCAACUGCCUGUAACUGGAGGAUAGCCCGUGGAAACGAGGAUUAAUACUGCGUAACAUUAUUGAAUCGCAUGGUUUAAUAAUCAAAUCUACGGAGGUUACAGAUGGGCAUGCGUGCCAUUAGUUAGAUGGUGAGGUAACGGCUCACCAUGACAUCGAUGGCUAGGGGUUCUGCAAGGAAGAUCCCCCACACUGGUACUGAGACACGGACCAGACUCCUACGGGAGGCAGCAGUGAGGAAUAUUGGUCAAUGGAGGCAACUCUGAACCAGCCAAGCCGCGUGAAGGAAGACUGUUCUAUGAAUUGUAAACUUCUUUUGUGGUAGAGUAAAUAUAGCUACGUGUAGUUAUUUGCAAGUAUACCAUGAAUAAGCAUCGGCUAACUCCGUGCCAGCAGCCGCGGUAAUACGGAGGAUCCAGGCGUUAUCCGGAUUUAUUAGGUAAACAGGGUGUCUAGGCUGCCACAUAAGUCAGGGGUGAAAGUCGGUUGCUCAACAAUCAAAUUGCCUUUGGAAACUGUGUGGCUCGAAU
rnacentral:rRNA from 1 species